UACGGGGGGGGCAAGCGUUGUUCGGAAUUACUGGGCGUAAAGGGCUCGUAGGCGGCCAACUAAGUCGGACGUGAAAUCCCCAGGCUUAACCUGGGAACUGCAUCCGAUACUGGAUGGCUUGAAUCCGGGAGAGGGAUGCAGAAUUCCAGGUGUAGCGGUGAAAUGCGUAGAGAUGUGGAGGAACACCAGUGGCGAAGGCGACUUUCUGGGCUGUAACUGACGCUGAGGCGCGAAAGCGUGGGGAGCAAACAGG
rnacentral:rRNA from 1 species